UCGAGGGGCAGCAUGGGAGUUUGCUUGCAAACUUCCGAUGGCGACCGGCGCACGGGUGAGUAACACGUAUCCAACCUGCCGAUAACUCGGGGAUAGCCUUUCGAAAGAAAGAUUAAUAUCCGAUAGCAUAUCAAGAUCGCAUGAUCUUGAUAUUAAAGAAUUUCGGUUAUCGAUGGGGAUGCGUUCCAUUAGUUAGUUGGCGGGGUAACGGCCCACCAAGACGACGAUGGAUAGGGGUUCUGAGAGGAAGGUCCCCCACAUUGGAACUGAGACACGGUCCAAACUCCUACGGGAGGCAGCAGUGAGGAAUAUUGGUCAAUGGACGAGAGUCUGAACCAGCCAAGUAGCGUGAAGGAUGACUGCCCUAUGGGUUGUAAACUUCUUUUAUAUGGGAAUAAAACAGGGUAUGCAUACCCUCUUGUAUGUACCAUAUGAAUAAGGAUCGGCUAACUCCGUGCCAGCAGCCGCGGUAAUACGGAGGAUCCGAGCGUUAUCCGGAUUUAUUGGGUUUAAAGGGAGCGUAGGUGGAUUGUUAAGUCAGUUGUGAAAGUUUGCGGCUCAACCGUAAAAUUGCAGUUGAAACUGGCAGUCUUGAGUACAGUAGAGGUGGGCGGAAUUCGUGGUGUAGCGGUGAAAUGCUUAGAUAUCACGAAGAACUCCGAUUGCGAAGGCAGCUCACUGGACUGCAACUGACACUGAUGCUCGAAAGUGUGGGUAUCAAACAGGAUUAGAUACCCUGGUAGUCCACACAGUAAACGAUGAAUACUCGCUGUUUGCGAUAUACAGUAAGCGGCCAAGCGAAAGCAUUAAGUAU
rnacentral:rRNA from 1 species